rnacentral:rRNA from 1 species
ACUCCUACGGGAGGCAGCAGUGGGGAAUCUUGGACAAUGGGGGCGAACCCUGAUCCAGCCAUGCCGCGUGAGUGAUGAAGGCCUUAGGGUCGUAAAGCUCUUUCGCCUGUGAUGAUAAUGACAGUAGCAGGUAAAGAAACCCCGGCUAACUCCGUGCCAGCAGCCGCGGUAAUACGGAGGGGUUAGCGUUGUUCGGAAUUACUGGGCGUAAAGCGCGCGUAGGCGGAUUAGUCAGUUAGAGGUGAAAUCCCAGGGCUCAACCCUGGAACUGCCUUUAAUACUGCUAGUCUUGAGUUCGAGAGAGGUGAGUGGAAUUCCGAGUGUAGAGGUGAAAUUCGUAGAUAUUCGGAGGAACACCAGUGGCGAAGGCGGCUCACUGGCUCGAUACUGACGCUGAGGUGCGAAAGUGUGGGGAGCAAACAGGAUUAGAUACCCGUGGUAGCGACUGA